rnacentral:rRNA from 1 species
UACGUAGGGGGCGAGCGUUGUCCGGAUUUAUUGGGCGUAAAGAGCGUGUAGGCGGCCCGGUAAGUCCGCUGUGAAAGUCGGGGGCUCAACCCUCGAAUGCCGGUGGAUACUGUCGGGCUAGAGUGCGGAAGAGGCGACUGGAAUUCCGUGGUGUAGCGGUGGAAUGCGCAGAUAUCAGGAGGAACACCGGUGGCGAAGGCGGGUCUCUGGGCAGUAACUGACGCUGAGGAGCGAAAGCGUGGGGAGCGAACAGG